rnacentral:rRNA from 1 species
UACAGAGGGUGCAAGCGUUACUCGGAAUUACUGGGCGUAAAGCGUGCGUAGGCGGCUUGUUGCGUCGGAUGUGAAAGCCCGGGGCUUAACUCCGGGUCUGCAUUCGAUACGGGCAGGCUAGAGUUCGGUAGGGGAGAUCGGAAUUCCUGGUGUAGCGGUGAAAUGCGCAGAUAUCAGGAGGAACACCGGUGGCGAAGGCGGCUCUCUGGGACGGUACUGACGCUGAGACGCGAAAGCGUGGGGAGCGAACAGG